rnacentral:rRNA from 1 species
ACCAGAGCCAUAUCUCCCUGCAGUUCUCACCUGGUUUCCCACUGCAGCUAAGCAGGGUUGAGCCUGGCCAGAACCUGGAUGGGAGACCUCCUGGGGAAACUAAGGUUGCUGCUGGAA